UAAGAUGAACAAGCAAAGGUGUGACACAAAUUGUCACACCUACAUUCACAUGAUCAUAAAACUGAAACCACAAAUGGUAAAAAUACCAAAUAAACACCAAAAUGUCAAGCCAAGAGUCUAGUUUCAUCAUGCAAAUUUUCAGAAGCAUUGGAUAAAAACUCAGCAUUUCACAAAUGAUAGAAGCAAGGCAAGGUACAAGAUGCAUAUAUGUUCACAAACCCUAGGGUAAAAAAUUAUCCAGCC
rnacentral:lncRNA from 1 species